UCCAGGUACCAAUCCCGCACCUUAGAAUGAAAAGUUAAGGUUUAAUGAGUGUCCACCCAGAAAAAACUGGAGUUAAAUCCAAUAAUCAAUACAUUCACAAAUUAUUCCUAAAGUCACAAUUUCAUGCCCGAAUUAUAACAAAAAAAGAUCAUUGCAAAAUGUUAGCUUUACCAUUAAACUUUUUAUUUCUACAGCAGCCAAGGUAGGAGUUUCAAAAGGCUAAACAAUUAACAAACACCGCCUUGUGAAUUGCAAGUGAAAUUCUAGGGUCUUACUGGAUGAUAGUGAUACGCCAUAUGGUUCUAUUUCAGAAGUCUUUGCUAUAGCAGUUGCAAAAAGCAUGUAUUUGAUUUUGGUCUUUAAAAUGGGGAGUCUAAAGAGGAGGGAGUAAUUAAUUAAUCAAACAUGGAGAAUCUUUUACUAUUCUUUUCUACAGACAUGCAGAACCACAUGAUAAAAGAAUUAUAAUAUUAAUUAAAAAAAAAAAAAGAAAUUAAAGCUUGUUCAUGAUAUUUAAAAAGUCUUAUAAACAUCUCCUAUAUAUAUUAUUAUUACUCCAUGUCUCUAACAAAUCCCCGAAUAAAAAUUAAAAAAAAAAUUAAAAAAAAAAACAAAAAAAAGGUAACAGAAGGCUACAUAUGCAAUGACCACAACCCUCUCUCCACCAUUCCAAGAUGAAAGACAGUAGAGGAUCUCCUUCGCUCUUUCCCUUUUCCAGUUUUACUACCUUUUUUCCUAUUCUAGGUGGUGCUCACAGUAGGAAGAUGCUUUUGAUCUAUCUUUCCAGCUAUAUGGUCUGCAAUCGAUGAAUUUUCUUCCAAAUACGUAUUUAGGGAUCGUGAAUUCAUCCUGUUUAUCUCCUCUCGCGUGUAGACAAAGAUCCCGUGGACCAUGCUACAGAAUUCCUGCCAGGGAUCAUCUCCCACAAGCAUCAUGUCACCCUCGUCAUCAGUGAAAACGACCAACCAGUUUUUGUUUGAAGCGAUUAAUUCACCAUUGAAUUCAAAAAUCUGAUCAAGUUCUGCCAUGAAUUCAUCAUAGCCAUUAAACUUUGUCAGGUCCACACACCUCCCAACCCCAAUUCCUUGCUUCUGAACCUUUACGCAUCUUCUGGUCAAAAAAGAAUUCUGCUCUUCCUCAUGUCUAAUCACGCGCUCAGAACACUUUGGAUGCAACAAUUGUUGCAAUGAUAGAUUAGAGCCCAAGUCUUGCAGAUGGUCUGAGGCAUUAUCAAAUUGCCCUUUUGGCCUAAGCAUUAACUUUUCAUGCAGCAUUGCUGGCUCUGUUGGCACAGGAUUGCUCAUGAGGGAGAUACCAAAAAGUUUACAAUUUCCAUCUCCUUUAGAUUUUACCUCCUCGUGCUGUUGCACAGACAAAGGAUGCAGUUUUUGUGCUGCCAGAGCAGAAUUACCAGCAUAUCCCUGGGGCAAAAUCCAUCGUCCAGUCUGAUAAUCAACCUCCAUAUUCAAAGAAGUAUGGCAUUGCAUCUCUUUAUCUUUUAAAGCAUGAGGCUCCAUUCUGGACUCGAACAUGUUAAAUGAGGGACCUUGUCCUAAUGAUGAAUUCAUAUACUUCUCUCCAGGCACCACUUGAGGAUUCCUGCUUUCAUGUCCAAAUCUUCUCUUACCGAAAGAAGUGCCAUUUUGAUCCCUAACUUGUGAUGAACUCCAUCCGGUAGGAUUUUGAGUAGUUUCUUGGUAUUUACUCACAGCAAAUGUGCCUCUCAAGGUUGCAUUUUCUUGAUCUUUCAGAUCUCUAGAUAAUCCAUUAUCUUUCUUUAUUACAGCAGCAGAAUCAGCAGAUGGCAUUGCCAUAUUUGAACGGGAUCUUUUGAUUCGGCAUACUGGAAGGGGACCUAAAGGAGCCAAAGCAGGUUCUAUUUCCCAAGGGGAAACCCUCUCUGGACGAUGAAGAGGAGAAGUUUCAUCCCAACGUACCUUGAGGCAUCUCCACUUUGAAGCAGGCCACCUCUCGGGAUCAGUAUUUUCAACCCCAAUCACUGUACCUGAAAACCUCUGCUCUGGAGCUUCUUCAGCUUCAAACCUCAUUUUGAACCUCAUCCCUAUGGUAAAGCUGUUCUUGACAGACUCCGCAUAUUUAUCAACUGGAAUAAUAAACUCAGCAGGACUAGUCCUUGGUUUGUAGUAGACCGUGAACAUUGUUCCUGUUGAAACAGCAUGCCAUGCAGUAGCAAGGAUGCCAAUAUGCAUACUGUGGCUAGAUAUGACAGAAGGUGGAACAUUACUUGGCUGCCUCAUAGCACGUCUUACUCCUACUCGAAUCUCCCCAUUUUCACUUCUGAGAAAAAUAAAUGCAUCUCCCGCUACAAGCUUUUUGGCGCUCACAAAAAGACUCCAACCACUUUGAAGAAGGUGCCUCCGUGGUUGACCUCUAAAGAUGUGGCGAAAAUGCCACUCAUUUCCAAGCAAAUCCCUUGCCACCAACUCCUGCGCUGGAGGUUGCAAAGACAUGUCCAGUGGAGGAAGGCAUUCAUCAGCAUGGCGUCUCAAUACUGAAAAUCCACCAUGAGUACUUGUAUCUGAGGCUGUAAGAGUCUUACAAAAGGAAUGUACCCGCGGACGUGUAGGCGAAGGCAAAGCCUCCUCGACCAAUUUUUCAGCUUGUUCAAGUUGAGGGAGCAAAGUUAUUUGAGCAAAAACUUCAUCUGUGUCUGGUUCGGCCUUUAAUUGAACAUUGACCACACGACAUAAAAUUUUCGCAGGAAGAUUAUAAGAAGGCAUUUGCUGAUCAGCCACCUGAUUCGUCGAUGCUUGCACCUGCUCGAUAUGACCCUGAGGAAAGUAAUAAAUGAGUUCUCCUCGGCGAGGCACCGUCACCAGAGGGCCAGCACAUGCGUGCCACAGCUCCCUGUACAAUUCAUCUCCAGAAUCUGCACCAACUUAUCAUUAGCAAAGUUUUAACCGCUAUUCAGAAAAUCUAGCAAUCUAACAUCACACUCCUUGUAAAAUUCAAGCUUUACCGGCAACCACGAUUCCAUUGCCGUCAUUAUCCGCGGAACUACCGGCGAUAGUCAUUAUAAUCCAAAAUAAAUAAACUGAAUUAGAUAAAACUUCUGCCACAAAUAAUUAAACGGAAAACAGUAUCCAAAUGAGGAUCCUCUCAAAAAGCAGUUAAUUCCAAUCUCUAGCUUGGAAGGCGUGACUCUCUGCAACUCAAACAGAAAUAGAAAUGAUCACUGGAUUCAAUGAUGCCAACAAGAACCACCACUUUUUGAAUGUCUUUCUCUUCAUCGUCUGCCUCGCUUUCUCUCUCCUCUGCAACCGUCUCAGCAAUAGUCGCCCCCAUUACCACUCGUACACUGUGUGUGUGUUUUGUGUUUGUGUGUAUGUGGGGCCUCCCUCACACAGCCUUUUUUUAUACAUAAAAAAAAAUAAUUUAACCUCCUGCAGUAAGUCAGAUUGAAUUAUUGUCCACCACUGAACUACCGGUAGCUUCGGUUGCUGUACCUUCUUCCCUGUUUUGACCUCUGCUUAACCGGCAAACAGAGCUUUAAAACCAAAUUGGGUUGACGAUUACGUUAGCGCCGUUACUGUUACGGUGGACAUGUAGGCAUUUGAUUGACAAACAGUAACACUGUUUGUCUUCGGAGACGGAAAGUUGUUCUGAUUUCAUGAAGAGAUUUUUU
rnacentral:misc_RNA from 1 species